rnacentral:rRNA from 1 species
UACGUAGGUGGCAAGCGUUGUCCGGAUUUAUUGGGGUUAAAGGGUGCGUAGGCGGUCUUAUAAGUCAGUGCUGAAAUAUCCCGGCUUAACCGGGAGGGUGGCAUUGAUACUGUAGGACUUGAGUAAAGUUGAGGUUGGCGGAAUUGACGGUGUAGCGGUGAAAUGCUUAGAUAUCGUCAAGAACACCUAUAGCGAAGGCAGCUAACUAAACUUUAACUGACGCUGAGGCACGAAAGUGUGGGGAUCAAACAGG